UUGUGAAGGGCUGUGGCUGCCCAGGGAGCAUAGGCAAACUGUUUGCAGCUGUGCUCCCCACCAGACCAGAGGGGGUAGACUCAGGGUAGAGCUCCUAUAAGGGCAGCCACUGAAGGGAGAGCAUCCCUUGGACUGAGGAUGCUUCUAGAGAGGGAAUGCUGUGUGUCCAGAAAGCCUCUUCACCAGUUGGGACUGCCUCAAGGAUCUGACAGGAGGAAUUGAGUAUGCUGCCAAGAUAUUAAAUGAAAUUCCCCAGAAAGACAUUCAGUGCACUAAAAGAGCCUCAAAGGCAGAAAGGGAAGGAAAUGGGCAAGGCUUCUGCUCUUCAUAACAAAAGGAGAGAAGGACUGUAAAAUCCAAAUCGUGGCAGUGAGAUAUGAAGAGAAUACAAGGUUGGAGCUCAGUAAUGGAGAUUUCAUCUGGUUUGCUCUGCUAAUGAAGAAACCUGCUUGCAGAGUAAGAAGUCUGUCUGCUGAGUGCAUAACAUGUGAUUUCUACCUAGAUGAAAAUGUUGGGGAUUUCUGGCUUACGUUGGAAUAGAGGCUCAUUAAUUACCCACUGCAGUCAGUCGUUACUAUCUGAUUUUUUUUUCCUCUGCGAAAGAGAAGAUUAUGUUCUUGUGGCCUCUUGGGGUCACACGAUUGUAAGGCACAAAUGUCUUGAUGUUGAAAGGCUUGGCUGAGCAUAGCCAUACAGCUCUGCUUUGUUAGGCAGGAGCCUUAGUUUACAAUCUUGGCUGUAGUACUUCCUCCCAAGUCUGAAAAGAGCUAUAAAGUUAACAGUUCUCUGCAAAAUUUAUGCACCUUGUGAAAAUGUUGGAAAACAUUCUUUGGACCUCUCCCCAACUAAAACUACUUUAGCUUGGGAGAAACCAGUUACACAGCCAAUUUCUCCUGCUGCUUUAGAUUGGUUCAUGCUUUGUAUGACCCUCGAUCUUGAAUGCUUUCAUUAUGUGUUACUUAUUCCUCUGUAAUGUUCUUGCUAGCAGUAGACAAGUGAGGACUGAAUUUGGUUAUCUUGUCAAUGACAUAAAUUGGAUUCAAAUUACAGUAAGAUGUGACACUUGCAGUAAACAUGUUGGAAGAAGAAUAGCACAUGACUUUGUACUGUCUGACAACUUGAAGCAUGGGACAGCUUCUUUGUGUUUCUCUCCCCUCUCCCAGCAGCUGUUGCCCCAUGGCAAAGGUUGGAAAUGAGUGGACCCUUCCAACUCAAGCCAUUCUGUGAUUCCAGGAUUAUGCAAAACUGUUCCUUCUGGCAUCAGUACUUAGGUUAUCCUAUCAUAAUGUGUCAAGGGACCUGCAGUUCUAGCAGCACUCCCUGGUGUUUGCUGAAUUAGUAGAUACUGGUUAAAAGAACAGCAACAAAAAUCCCUCAAACACUGAAGGAGCUGAUGUGAGGGUGUUGUCUAACAAUAACGUGUCUCCAUUACAACUUCAUGGAUCCCUUCUGUUCUAAAUGCCAGUACCCAUGCCCAGGUGCUGAGAAAGCAUUAGAUACAGAGGAAGCAUGGGCUCUCUAAGGCUUGAGCAGAGCUGUGAAGGCAUGGCACCAAUCUAUUGUGCUCUGUCAUGUGUAUGACUGGAAUUGUGUGAUCUAUCAGAUAAAACAGCUGCUCAAGGGAUGUGCUGACUGGGAUCUCCACCUCCUUUAAGAGGCAGAAGUGCAAAGUACUGAGCUGUUCAAACCAUCCUGUAUCUAGGAGGCAACUAGUGACUCUGGUAUGUGACUUCUGGGGGAACAUUAGACUUGGAAAGACUUUUUUCUCCCUGCUCCUUUCUUGAGUAAGAAGUUUCCCUUGCCCAUAUUGCUUUAGGCUUAUAUCUCAAAAUGACACAUUGGUACCAAAGAUUGUAGAGCAGAGCACAUCGCUCAUGAUGCAUUACUCCCUAUCCACAUAAUUCCUCUGUUUUUAUGAUCAAAAUAAAACACUUGAAAUAUGUUCUCAUCUGCUGGAUGGGAGAGAGAACAAAAUGCUGGAGGGGAACCUUUAAGUUGUAUCUCUCUGGACUUAUUUAUAAGAUUGAACUACUUUUUUUCUUUUUACCCCACAACCCUUUCCCUCUUUCUCCUCCUCCUUUCCUUCAAAUACUCUGACUGGUGCUGACAGAAAUGAUUAUAGCUUAUGAGUGAUAAUAUAAUUCAGUUUCCCUCAAGGAGAGAUGCUAUCAGAGAAGGUUUCUUUUAAAUAUACUGGUUGAGAAGAGCCAUCUUUCUUCCUAGAAGAACAGUUAUUAAUCUCUUACUAGUACAUUUUCAUAUCGUUUUGGACAUUUAUUUCCAUGCUGUGAUAUUAUAAAACCAGGCAUUUGUGUCAGUUUUGAUGCAGUGCAACAUGCUGGAACAUGAAAAGGCGUAAUUACCACUGUGGUCAUUUGAAUUGCUAACCAGAUCCUGACAUUUUCAAAUCGGACCAAUUUCUUAGUGAUCCAGAAGUGAGCCUGGAUGCUAUAUGAGCUGCAUUUCAAUUAGGCAACUCAACAUUUAAAAAGGAAGUGCAGAGCACACGUUCCCAAAACACUGCUAAAAUGAGGAAAUGCUUUCCUAGUUUUCUGUUGCUCCACUAGAUUAAAUGUUUAGCUUGUGAGUUUCCUUGAUAACAUCAUAGGUAUUGUUAAUUCUGAUGCAUUUAAAUAUUCAAUAAGGUCUCCUUAAGGAAAUGUUUUCAACUUUUUUUAUGGAUAUAAUCAUAGCAACCUGCUCUAAGACCACAUUUAUUUGAUUUGUACAUUCACUGAGGUGAACUCUUGGCAUUCCUGAACUUUCGUGUUAUGGAAUUUGUUCUCUGGGCCCCAUUUGUGGUGCAGGCUUCAUAACAAGCACAACUUGUGCUUCCAACAUGACUAGAGAGCUGAGUUUUAGCUAGUGGAUGCUCCUGUCUGUGUUUCUGCUUGCAGAUGGGCUGUGUUUCUUCGAGAGCUUAUCUUGUACUGGUUGGGAUGUAAUGGUGCAGAGCAGCAGUGAGAUAUGGUCUGAUGUCGAUGAGUGAUGCUUUGUGAUGUGAAAAGCUUCUUUGCAAGAGUAAUUCAGAGGAUCCUGUGUGCUUUUAGCCUCCUGGACCUGUGGAAUGUAGCUAAUAAGUAAUGGUAUGUUUCAGACCAGAGACCAGGAAAGGAAGUGCAGCAAGGAGGGAAAAUGAAUGGGAAGAACACUUCUGUUUUGUGGAGUUUCAAGAAAAUGUCUCCCUUAUUUGGUGGGAAAGCAGCAUCAGUAUUAGACUACAUAAGGCAAGAAAGCAUAAAACACAGUGUUCUAAAUUAAUAUAAAAUACUUGUAUAGGAUUACUCAAAUUUUCUUUCAUUUACUUGGGAAGUUUUACAUCUAAAUACCUGAGGAGGCUGCACACAAACCACCUCUCACCCCUUUUUUCUUUGACAAAUGCCAAAGUGUUUUCCUACAUAAAAAAGGUGAAUUCUGCUCUAGUAGGGGAGGAUAUGUGGUUCUUGUCCUCCUGUGGACUAAAUCCUCAUUUUUCUUAAGCUGUGGGUCUGCUUAUUGAAUGAAGGAGAGAGAGAUGACAGAAGCCAGCUGCAGGUUCCUUUUAAAGAUCAGACUUGAAGCUUUUAUAGAUAGGGAUUUCACCUUUCCUGCCUGAAAAUAUCAGAUUUGCAUAUCUGUCAUAGUAUUUUUGUGUAUUAAACUAUGGAAGUAUAGCUGUAGACAAAUGAAGCUAAAAAUUGACUUGAAUGAAUGGUUGUUUUUGUUAUAACUCUUUCAUGUUUCGAAUGAUUGAGAGGAGUGCUCUAAUUCAUUUUUGUGGAAGUAUUUCAAACAGUUUUUUUUUAUUUUCCUGGCAUGCAGCUCAGUGUCUGCAAUAUUACUCAUCGAACCUACCGUGCCUGAAUUGUCCUCCUAUCUUUAAAGUGAGUCUCUGGUUCUGUUUGAGUCCCACGCGAGUCUUGGAAUGACUAAACCUGUGCUGAUGGUGUUAUGAUGUGUGGUGCUUAAUGCAGCCUUUUAGGAAGUAAAGUUGAUCUUUAGAACAUGGAUAAUCUGGGCAUAUUGUGCUUUGCAGUCAAGAUGGCAGUGGAUAAUUUCCAUGCAACAGAUGUGUUUGAUUAUGGCAACCUGGGGCAUGAAAUUACUCCUAAUUCUAAAACUAGUGGAUUCAAGACAGUGCUAGGCUGUGCAGUUAUUUCCACUGCAGAGAUGUCUAGACACCUCACCCAGGGAGCCAAGCCCCAAGGUAAUAAGCACUGUAGUAUAUGCAACAAAAGCUCUCUUCCAGACUGAAACAGGUUUAAAAAUACACUUUAAAGCACACUGGCAGUUCCAAAAAGGAGAAGAAAGUCUGUUCAGAUUGUGAAAUUCCUGGUUUAAAAAAAUAAAAUAAAACCACUGCAUGGCAAGAAGUGAACAUGAUACUGUGCACAGUCAGAGAUUCACUCAUUACCUCUUAGAAUUCUCUUCUUUUUGUGAGUCUGUCUGUUCAGCCCACUGUGUAUCACAGCUGUCACCAUAUGCUGGUGCAUGAGUGAUACUAGGCUUAUGAUGGAAAGUAUGUAUGAUGCAAGGGUUGAGAGACUGGGGUUUUAUAAUGGGCUGCCUCUUGCCAGCUUGCUUGACCUCUCACCAGUAUGCAGGGAAUGGUGUGAUGUGUCUGUUUUAAAGCAAAACUGAUGCAAAUGGCUAACGAACAAUAUUUAUGGCUGAAUGUCUGAAGGUUCAAGUCCAAAGUGUGAAGCAAUUAAUAAACUCAUUGGUACUUGUCUUUGUGGCUUCUUUUGUGAAGUGCUUAUGGCAAGUCAUCUCAGCCACUUCUGCAUGCACUUCCAUAGCUGUGGACUGCUUGCCUGUGCACUGCUAUUCUCAAACGAGCAUUGUGUUGCUUGUCCUGAAGAAAAAAUGCCAAAUUUCCUUAAGGCAUGAGUGCAGCUGGGAU